GCUGGCGGCGUGCCUAAUACAUGCAAGUCGAGCGGAUCUACUUUGAAAGCUUGCUUUCAAAGUGGGUUAGCGGCGGACGGGUGAGUAACACGUAGGCAACCUGCCCCUUAGACUGGGAUAACUACCGGAAACGGUAGCUAAUACCGGAUAAUUUCUUUCUUCGCCUGAAGGAAGAAUGAAAGACGGAGCAAUCUGUCACUAAGGGAUGGGCCUGCGGCGCAUUAGCUAGUUGGUGAGGUAACGGCUCACCAAGGCGACGAUGCGUAGCCGACCUGAGAGGGUGAACGGCCACACUGGGACUGAGACACGGCCCAGACUCCUACGGGAGGCAGCAGUAGGGAAUCUUCCGCAAUGGGCGAAAGCCUGACGGAGCAACGCCGCGUGAGUGAUGAAGGUUUUCGGAUCGUAAAGCUCUGUUGCCAGGGAAGAACGUCCGGUAGAGUAACUGCUACCGGAGUGACGGUACCUGAGAAGAAAGCCCCGGCUAACUACGUGCCAGCAGCCGCGGUAAUACGUAGGGGGCAAGCGUUGUCCGGAAUUAUUGGGCGUAAAGCGCGCGCAGGCGGCUAUUUAAGUCUGGUGUUUAAACCUUGGGCUCAACCUGGGGUCGCACUGGAAACUGGAUGGCUUGAGUACAGAAGAGGAAAGUGGAAUUCCACGUGUAGCGGUGAAAUGCGUAGAUAUGUGGAGGAACACCAGUGGCGAAGGCGACUUUCUGGGCUGUAACUGACGCUGAGGCGCGAAAGCGUGGGGAGCAAACAGGAUUAGAUACCCCCGUAGUCC
rnacentral:rRNA from 1 species